rnacentral:lncRNA from 1 species
AGCGAAGGGCUGGAGGCAAACACCGAGCUCCCCCUGAGCCGCCUGGGAGCAGGGAGGGUUCUGCUACCCUGAGGGGCCCUCCCCGCGGGGCAGAGGGGACCAGCCCAACAUGGCUUCCAACACAGAGACCAGAAGGACCCAAUAAGAGACCGAAGACACGACUGAUAAUACAGAAAGGAGGGUGAUGCUGUGUGCAAGGCAGAUACAAGAUGGUUUUUCCAUAAGAGGAAGUGAUCAUGGCAACCAUGACCUUCUCUGACCUUCUCUCUUCCAAGAGGCUGUUGGGAAGGUGGGAUGACCUAGGAUUGACCUUGGACUUGACAUCACAGAAGCCAUUUCAACCUUCACAGGGUUUCCUCAGCAGUGCCCCGGAGCAGGGACCGCGCCAGCCAGCAGAAACAGCUAGUUGUUGUCUGCAGUGAAGAAUAAUUGGAAGCAUGGUGCCUGUUUCUUUUCCUGUGGGAGGAAGUCACAGCAUCUACUUCUGAAUCUGUGCUUGCCUUGAGGAAAAACGGCAUGGCACAGGAAUGUGGACGCUUUCAACCAGAGGAUUCUGUACGACGGUGUCGGCACACACUCAUCCUCGUCUACGGCCAAACGUUGGUUUCUCAUUUCUAGAAGAUGAAAGAUGUGAUGACUCAGGAAAAACUGGAAUCUUAGUAACUGUGGUGGGCAUUGAGCCUUGCCGUCCACAAGAGAAAGCUUGCUGCUCGAGAUGUGAGUCUUCAGAUGUUCCUGCCGCCAUAUCUGACAGCUGCUGCCAAGAUUCCCUGGUGGGAUGGACUCUUAUACCUCAACAACCAGAAGCCCAAGUAAACUCUUCUAUAAAUUGAAUGACUCAUGCUUAAAAAAAAAAACAAAAAACAAA